AGAGUUUGAUCCUGGCUCAGAUUGAACGCUGGCGGCAUGCCUUACACAUGCAAGUCGAACGGCAGCACGGACUUCGGUCUGGUGGCGAGUGGCGAACGGGUGAGUAAUGUAUCGGAACGUACCUUUCAGUGGGGGAUAACGUAGCGAAAGUUACGCUAAUACCGCAUAUUCUGUGAGCAGGAAAGCAGGGGAUCGCAAGACCUUGCGCUGAUUGAGCGGCCGAUAUCAGAUUAGCUAGUUGGUGAGGUAAAGGCUCACCAAGGCGACGAUCUGUAGCGGGUCUGAGAGGAUGAUCCGCCACACUGGAACUGAGACACGGUCCAGACUCCUACGGGAGGCAGCAGUGGGGAAUUUUGGACAAUGGGGGCAACCCUGAUCCAGCCAUGCCGCGUGAGUGAAGAAGGCCUUCGGGUUGUAAAGCUCUUUCGGCCGGGAAGAAAUCGCAUGGGUUAAUACCCUGUGCGGAUGACGGUACCGGCAUAAGAAGCACCGGCUAAUACGUGC
rnacentral:rRNA from 1 species